rnacentral:rRNA from 1 species
AUCAGCAUGCCGCGGUGAAUACGUUCCCGGGCCUUGUACACACCGCCCGUCACACCAUGAGAGUCGGGAACACCCGAAGUCCGUAGUCUAACAGCAAUGGGGGCGCGGCCGAAGGUGGGUUCGAUAAAUUGGGGUGAAGUCGUAACAAGGUAUC